AUACGGAGGAUCCGAGCGUUAUCCGGAUUUAUUGGGUUUAAAGGGUGCGUAGGCGGCCUUUUAAGUCAGCGGUGAAAGUCUGUGGCUCAACCAUAGAAUUGCCGUUGAAACUGGGGGGCUUGAGUAUGUUUGAGGCAGGCGGAAUGCGUGGUGUAGCGGUGAAAGGCAUAGAUAUCACGCAGAACCCCGAUUGCGAAGGCCGCCUGCCAAGCCAUGACUGACGCUGAUGCACGAAAGCGUGGGGAUCAAACAGGAUUAGAUACCCUGGUAGUCCACGCAGUAAACGAUGAUCACUAGCUGUUUGCGAUACACUGUAAGCGGCACAGCGAAAGCGUCAAGUGAUCCACCUGGGGAGUACGCCGGCAACGGUGAAACUCAAAGGAAUUGACGGGG
rnacentral:rRNA from 1 species